rnacentral:rRNA from 1 species
CCCUUAGAUGUCCGGGGCCGCACGCGCGCUACAAUGGAUGAAUCAACGCGUCAUCCUGGCCCGAAAGGGUUGGGGAACCGCUGAACCUAAUCCGUGGUUGGGAUUGGGGUUUGUAAUUAUUCCCCAUGAACUAGGAAUUCCCAGUAAGCGCGAGUCAUAAGCUCGCGUUGAUUACGUCCCUGCCCUUUGUACACACCGCCCGUCGCUACUACCGAUUGGAUGGUUUAGUGAGAUCCUCGGAUUGGUCACGGCACGGUGGCAACACUGCGUCGGUGUGCCGAGAAGACGAUCAAACUUGAUCAUCUAGAGGAAGUAAAAGUCGUAACA